rnacentral:rRNA from 1 species
AAAUUGAAGAGUUUGAUCAUGGCUCAGAUUGAACGCUGGCGGCAGGCCUAACACAUGCAAGUCGAGCGGUAGCACAGAGAGCUUGCUCUCGGGUGACGAGCGGCGGACGGGUGAGUAAUGUCUGGGAAACUGCCUGAUGGAGGGGGAUAACUACUGGAAACGGUAGCUAAUACCGCAUAACGUCGCAAGACCAAAGUGGGGGACCUUCGGGCCUCAUGCCAUCAGAUGUGCCCAGAUGGGAUUAGCUAGUAGGUGGGGUAACGGCUCACCUAGGCGACGAUCCCUAGCUGGUCUGAGAGGAUGACCAGCCACACUGGAACUGAGACACGGUCCAGACUCCUACGGGAGGCAGCAGUGGGGGAAUAUUGCACAAUGGGCGCAAGCCUGAUGCAGCCAUGCCGCGUGUGUGAAGAAGGCCUUCGGGUUGUAAAGCACUUUCAGCGGGGAGGAAGGCGGUGAGGUUAAUAACCUCAUCGAUUGACGUUACCCGCAGAAGAAGCACCGGCUAACUCCGUGCCAGCAGCCGCGGUAAUACGGAGGGUGCAAGCGUUAAUCGGAAUUACUGGGCGUAAAGCGCACGCAGGCGGUCUGUCAAGUCGGAUGUGAAAUCCCCGGGCUCAACCUGGGAACUGCAUUCGAAACUGGCAGGCUAGAGUCUUGUAGAGGGGGUAGAAUUCCAGGUGUAGCGGUGAAAUGCGUAGAGAUCUGGAGGAAUACCGGUGGCGAAGGCGGCCCCCUGGACAAAGACUGACGCUCAGGUGCGAAAGCGUGGGGAGCAAACAGGAUUAGAUACCCUGGUAGUCCACGCCGUAAACGAUGUCGAUUUGGAGGUUGUGCCCUUGAGGCGUGGCUUCCGGAGCUAACGCGUUAAAUCGACCGCCUGGGGAGUACGGCCGCAAGGUUAAAACUCAAAUGAAUUGACGGGGGCCCGCACAAGCGGUGGAGCAUGUGGUUUAAUUCGAUGCAACGCGAAGAACCUUACCUGGUCUUGACAUCCACAGAACUUUCCAGAGAUGGAUUGGUGCCUUCGGGAACUGUGAGACAGGUGCUGCAUGGCUGUCGUCAGCUCGUGUUGUGAAAUGUUGGGUUAAGUCCCGCAACGAGCGCAACCCUUAUCCUUUGUUGCCAGCGGUUAGGCCGGGAACUCAAAGGAGACUGCCAGUGAUAAACUGGAGGAAGGUGGGGAUGACGUCAAGUCAUCAUGGCCCUUACGACCAGGGCUACACACGUGCUACAAUGGCAUAUACAAAGAGAAGCGACCUCGCGAGAGCAAGCGGACCUCAUAAAGUAUGUCGUAGUCCGGAUUGGAGUCUGCAACUCGACUCCAUGAAGUCGGAAUCGCUAGUAAUCGUAGAUCAGAAUGCUACGGUGAAUACGUUCCCGGGCCUUGUACACACCGCCCGUCACACCAUGGGAGUGGGUUGCAAAAGAAGUAGGUAGCUUAACCUUCGGGAGGGCGCUUACCACUUUGUGAUUCAUGACUGGGGUGAAGUCGUAACAAGGUAACCGUAGGGGAACCUGCGGUUGGAUCACCUCCUUA